UGGUGGAAUUGGUAGACACGCUAGACUUAGGAUCUAGUGCCGCAAGGUGUGAGAGUUCGAGUCUCUCCGCCCGCACAA
rnacentral:tRNA from 1 species